AGGGUAUGGCUGUUCGCCAUUUAAAGUGGUACGCGAGCUGGGUUUAGAACGUCGUGAGACAGUUCGGUCCCUAUCUGCCGUGAGCGCUGGAGAACUGAGGGGGGCUGCUCCUAGUACGAGAGGACCGGAGUGGACGCAUCACUGGUGUUCGGGUUGUCAUGCCAAUGGCACUGCCCGGUAGCUAAAUGCGGAAGAGAUAAGUGCUGAAAGCAUCUAAGCACGAAACUUGCCCCGAGAUGAGUUCUCCCUGACUCCUUGAGAGUCCUGAAGGAACGUUGAAGACGACGACGUUGAUAGGCCGGGUGUGUAAGCGCAGCGAUGCGUUGAGCUAACCGGUACUAAUGAACCGUGAGGCUUAACCUUACAACGCCGAAG
rnacentral:rRNA from 1 species